UACAGAGGCCCCAAGCGUUAUCCGGAAUUAUUGGGUGUAAAGGGUGUGUAGGUGGUGUAGUUAGUCGUUUGUGAAAGAUCCGGGCUUAACCUGGAAAACGCGAACGAAACGGCUAUGCUUGAGUAGAGGAGAGGUAAGCGGAACUCAAGGUGUAGGGGUGAAAUCCGUUGAUAUCUUGGGGAACACCAAAAGCGAAGGCAGCUUACUGGCCUCUUACUGACACUGAAACACGAAAGCAUGGGUAGCGAAUGGG
rnacentral:rRNA from 1 species